rnacentral:sRNA from 1 species
UGGCCCGAGCCAGGUCAGUCGGGGAGUGCAGCUGGCCCAUCCUGGGCUCUGAGCUCCUAGACCAGGGGUGGGCCCUGCUAGGAGUGGGCCUGAGCCUCGCACGUCCUCUGAAACUACGCUAUGCUCUGCCUUUGCGGCGCGACGGGCGUGGGAGCGGGGGCUGCCCAAAGGUGGGCUGGGGUUGGAGGAAGUGGCCCGGUAGCCGCUGUGUGUCCUGAGGCCGUAAGGCGCCUGACCCCACCCUUGAAGCUGACAGAGCAGGGCCCGUUUUCUCUACACAAUAGUCAUGAUCCGCUGGGCCCCCAGCGCAUCUCCUGGAAGAGCCCAAUCAUCCUGGACGAGCUCUUCGGUAGCCUCAGACCGUCCUUGAAGAGGAUGACUGAGACAUUAUGGGCCACGCGCUGUGUGUCUGCUCUCGGGGAACUGUCAUCAUUGACAAUAAGCGCUACCUCUUCAUCCAGAAACUGGGGGAGGGCGGGUUCAGCUAUGUGGACCUAGUGGAAGGGUUACAUGAUGGACACUUCUACGCCCUGAAGCGAAUCCUGUGUCACGAGCAGCAGGACCGGGAGGAGGCCCAGCGAGAAGCCGACAUGCAUCGCCUCUUCAAUCAUCCCAACAUCCUUCGCCUGGUGGCUUACUGUCUGAGGGAACGGGGUGCUAAGCAUGAGGCCUGGCUGCUGCUACCAUUCUUCAAGAGAGGUACGCUGUGGAAUGAGAUAGAAAGGCUGAAGGACAAAGGCAACUUCCUGACUGAGGAUCAAAUCCUUUGGCUGCUGCUGGGGAUCUGCAGAGGCCUUGAGGCCAUUCAUGCCAAGGGUUAUGCCCACAGGGACUUGAAGCCCACCAAUAUAUUGCUCGGAGAUGAGGGGCAGCCAGUUUUAAUGGACUUGGGUUCCAUGAAUCAAGCAUGCAUCCAUGUGGAGGGCUCCCGCCAGGCUCUGACCCUGCAGGUAAAAGAGUCUCCAGGCUCCUUUUCUCACCUGUUCCCCAUUCCCACCCCUUCUGGUGCAUGUCCCAGUUUGGUCAUAUGACCAUGACCUGUGCCCCACUUUUGAGCUCUGGGAUCACUGUUCCAGGACUGGGCAGCCCAGCGGUGCACCAUCUCCUACCGAGCCCCAGAGCUCUUCUCUGUGCAGAGUCACUGUGUCAUCGAUGAGCGGACUGAUGUCUGGGUGAGGAGCAUGUGGGUGGGUAUCUGGGUAGGGAGGGCUGUGGCUCUCUGUACCCACCGUGGAGUAGAGUA